rnacentral:rRNA from 1 species
AUGCCGAUGAAAGUGGUCAACACCACCUACAUGGGCAUGAACGCCCUCCAUGCUGCUGGUGACCUUGGCACGCUACCAGUCUAUCUGUAA